rnacentral:rRNA from 1 species
UACGUAGGUGGCAAGCGUUGUCCGGAUUUACUGGGCGUAAAGAGCGCGCAGGCGGUCAGAUAAGUCGAAUGUGAAAGCCCCCGGCUCAACUGGGGAGGGUCAUUCGAUACUGUUCGACUCGAAGGCAGGAGAGGGAAGUGGAAUUCCCGGUGUAGUGGUGAAAUGCGUAGAUAUCGGGAGGAACACCAGUGGCGAAGGCGACUUCCUGGCCUGUUCUUGACGCUGAGGCGCGAAAGCGUGGGGAUCAAACGGG